GUCGCGGUUAGACGAAGAAUCCGUAUAGAAUGAAUGUUUACAUUAGUUAACGUUCAAUUUUUGAAGUUUCUCUAGCUUUUUUGUUGGGUGAAAUCAGUAUAAGAAGCUCUUUCUUCUUUAAAAAUUAGUAGGAACUAAAAAACUUUGAUUUAAAACCCAGGAUUAGAUACCCUGUUAUUCUCAGUUAUUCUUAAACAGGGUAGUAAAAGUUGUUCUUCAAACCCAAAGAUUUUGGCGGCACUUUAUCCAAAUAGAGGAGCUUGUCCCUUAAUCGAUAGUCCUCGUUUUAUCUUUCCUUCAUUUGUAAAGCUUGUAUACCGCCGUUGUCAGAUUACUUUUAGAGAAUGUUUUCAAGUUAAAAGACUUAUAACUUCAGGUCAAGGUGCAGUUUAUAUGGGGGUGGAGGUGAGCUACAGUUUUCUUUAGAAAUACGGAUUNUAAGCUUUGAA
rnacentral:rRNA from 1 species